UACGUAGGCAGCAAGCGUUGUUCGGAAUUACUGGGCGUAAAGAGUGUGUAGGCGGUGCUCUAAGUUUGGUGUGAAAUCUCCCGGCUCAACCGGGAGGCUGCAUCGAAUACUGGAAUGCUAGAGGGUGGGAGAGGUAAGCGGAAUUCCUGGUGUAGCGGUGAAAUGCGCAGAUAUCAGGAGGAACACCGGUGGCGAAGGCGGGUCUCUGGGCCGAUACUGACGCUGAGGAGCGAAAGCGUGGGGAGCAAACAGG
rnacentral:rRNA from 1 species